CAGUAGCCGCGGUAAUACGAAGGGUGCAAGCGUUACUCGGAAUUACUGGGCGUAAAGCGUGCGUAGGUGGUGGUUUAAGUCCGUUGUGAAAGCCCUGGGCUCAACCUGGGAAUUGCAGUGGAUACUGGGUCACUAGAGUGUGGUAGAGGAUAGUGGAAUUUCCGGUGUAGCAGUGAAAUGCGUAGAGAUCGGAAGGAACAUCUGUGGCGAAGGCGGCUUACUGGUCCACAACUGACGCUGAGGUGCGAAAGCGUGGGGAGCAAACAGGAUUAGAUACCCCGGUAGUCCCUGUCUCUUAUAC
rnacentral:rRNA from 1 species